CUCGGGAAUAGCUAGAAUCUCGUUUGCUAUUUUGUCCCCAAAAAGCUGAUGAAUGAGGGUCUGCUUCCAUGUUCGGGAUUCUUCAUUAAUCAGUCCUUCCACCAUGCAUACUUUGCCAGCCCCAAGAUGAUCGCUGGCCCUUCGGUGCAUUCCAGAUAUCUCCAUGAGGAAAGUAUAUGCCCUUUAAAACUUUACUCCAUAAUGUGUUCGGGGAAGUAUGUAACCGCCAUACUUGUUUACCAAGCAUUGCACAAUUGAAGAAUGAAGCUAUUCGCCUUUCAAUUGCUCUACAUAUGGACACUGGCAACUUAAAGAUCGACAUUGCAUAGGUUGGUAUGGCCUACACCACACUCUUAAUCAAGACUUCAUUUCCUGCUUUGGUAAGUAACUUUUCCUUCCAACCCUUCAGCUUUGAGUUUACUUUGGUUAAGAUCCAUGCAAAUAAUUCUUUUUUGGAUUGUCCCCAUUCUGUAGGGAUACCUAAGUAUUUACCUGUGUUUUCAUAAAUAGGCACUCUUAGUUCUUGGGCCAUGUUCCUCUUAAGUGGUAAGGGACAAUUCUUACUGAAAUAAACUCCUAACUUGUUUAAAUUAACAGCUUGCCCCGUUGCAUAACAAUACUGGUUAAUUGUAAGUGUAAGAUUCUGACAUUCCCUUACGGUGCCAUCCAUGAAGAAAAUAACAUCAUCCGCAAAAAGAAGGUGAGAGAGCUUAGGACAAUACCUGUUGAGCUGUAUACCUUGUAUGCUGCCUUAUGCAACUGCUUUUUGCAUCAACCAUGUUAACACAUUUGUGAUUAAGAUGAAUAAAUAAGGUGACAGGGGAUCUCCUUGCCUGAGACCUCUGGAUGGACUGAAAAAAGGGCUGGUGUAACACUUCCUGCACAAUGAGGAUGUUAUCCUGUAUCUGUCGACCCUGAACGAAGGCACUCUGUUCCGGAUUUUUCACUUUGGGAAUCAAGGCAAUAUAUGUUUGAUUUAAAUGAGGAUCUAGAAUACCUAUGUUGAAGAAGUUCUACACAAGAUGAAAUAGGGUUGCAUUUAUACGAUCAUCAAUAGGAGAGUGGCAUUGGCUUAAGACAG